GUUCCUGUGAAUUUCACUACCCUAAGUACCUCAUAUAAGUAGAAUCAUACUGUAUUUGUCCUUUUGUGUCUGGUUAAUUUCACUCAGCAUAACGGCUCAAGCUUCAUACAUG